UCACAUAAAAAGUUAAGCAAGGUAGAAUAUUGAGAUAUAUGGCUUGACACUUAGAAAAAAUUUCAAUAUGUUGAAAUUUCCAAACUUCCACCUCAAAAUUCAUCAUGAUACAAGCUUCAAAUGAAAACAUGUUGAACAUGAAAGUUGUUCCUCUUGAUCUAAGCUUUCCAAAAAGUCCAAGUUCAUCCAUUUUGGACAAGAAUUGCUAGGGUUACGCAUGGAAUGAACAUGGUAUCAUCAUUU
rnacentral:lncRNA from 1 species